rnacentral:rRNA from 1 species
AACGAACGCUGGCGGCAGGCCUAACACAUGCAAGUCGAGCGAGGACUUCGGUUCUAGCGGCGGACGGGUGAGUAACGCGUGGGAAUGUGCCCUUCUCUACGGAAUAGCCCUGGGAAACUGGGAGUAAUACCGUAUACGCCCUAUUGGGGAAAGAUUUAUCGGAGAAGGAUCAGCCCGCGUUGGAUUAGGUAGUUGGUGGGGUAAUGGCCUACCAAGCCGACGAUCCAUAGCUGGUUUGAGAGGAUGAUCAGCCACACUGGGACUGAGACACGGCCCAGACUCCUACGGGAGGCAGCAGUGGGGAAUCUUAGACAAUGGGGGCAACCCUGAUCUAGCCAUGCCGCGUGAGUGAUGAAGGCCUUAGGGUUGUAAAGCGCUUUCAGCUGGGAAGAUAAUGACGGUACCAGCAGAAGAAGCCCCGGCUAACUCCGUG